CCCACCUUUAAAAAAUGAUUCCAACCAUCUUACGCUACUCCGGCGUAACGGUACCGGCGAUCCCAUCAACAGCCUCCUAUCUCCGAUUGAUAGACACACAAUGCACCACGAUGAGAGAGCUCAAACAAAUCCACUCCAACCUCAUCAAAACCGGUUUAAUCUCCGACACCUUCGCCGCGAGCCGCGUCCUCGCCUUCUGCUGCGCCGCCACGUCGUCGGACAUCAACCACGCUUACUUACUCUUCACGAGGAUCAACCACAAGAACCCGUUCGUGUGGAACACUAUGAUCCGCGGCUUCUCCAACAGCUCGUUUCCGGAGAUGGCGAUUUCGAUUUUCGUCGAUAUGUUGUUGUGUUCUGAUUCAGUGAGGCCGGAGAGAUUGACUUACCCUUCGGUGUUCAAGGCGUACGCGAAUCUAGGGAAAGCUCGCGAUGGGAGAGAGCUGCACGGGAGGGUUAUCAAAGAAGGGCUCAAAGACGACGCCUUUAUACGGAACACGGUGUUGCAUAUGUACGUGACUUGUGGGUGUUUCGAUGAAGCUUGGAGGGUUUUCGAGGGGAUGGUGGAGUUCGAUGUUGUUGCUUGGAACUCGAUGAUCAUGGGUCUUGCUAAGUAUGGGUCGGUUGACGAGGCGCGGAAGGUGUUCGAUGAAAUGCCGCAGAGGAGUGAGGUUUCGUGGAAUUCGAUGAUUAGUGGGUUUGUUAGGAACGGUAGGUUUAAGGAGGGGUUGGAGGUGUUUGGAGAGAUGCAGGAAAGAGGUUUGAAGCCGGAUGGGUUUACGAUGGUGAGUCUGUUGAAUGCUUGUGGUUGCCUCGGAGCGAAAGAGCAAGGGAGAUGGGUACAUGAGUAUAUAGUGAAGAAUGGGUUUUGGUUGAAUGGUGUAGUUGUUACGGCGAUUAUAGAUAUGUACUGUAAGUGCGGGUGCGUUGAGGAAGGUUUAAGGGUGUUUGAGGAUGCUCCUAAGAAGCAGUUAUCGUGUUGGAACUCGAUGAUUCUUGGUUUAGGUAAUAAUGGGUACGUGGAAAGUGCUAUGGAUUUGUUCUUGGAGUUGGAGCGUUCUGGCUUGGAGCCAGAUUCAGUUAGUUUUAUUGGUGUUUUGACGGCUUGUGCUCAUUCCGGGAGAGUACAUGAAGCUGGCGAAUUUUUCAGAUUGAUGAGAGAAAAGUAUUGUAUUGAACCGUCGGUUAAACACUACACUUGCAUGGUUAACGUGCUGGGUGGAGCAGGGCUACUAGAGGAAGCAGAAGCAAUGAUAAAGAACAUGCCGGUGGAAGAAGACGCUAUUAUAUGGAGUUCUUUGCUUUCCGCUUGCAGGAAAACCGGUAACGUUGAGAUGGCUGAGCGAGCAGCAAAACGUUUGAAGAAGCUGGAUCCAGAUGAAACUUGUGGUUAUGUGCUCAUGUCUAAUGCGUAUGCUUCUUAUGGGUUGUUCGAAGAGGCGGUUGAACAGAGGGUUUUGAUGAAGGAAAGACAAAUGGAGAAGGAAAUAGGUUGUAGUUCGAUUGAAGUAGAUUUCGAAGUUCAUGAGUUUGUUUCUUCCGGGAAAAGACACCCUAAAUCCUCAGGGAUUUACAGCUUACUAGGUGUUUUGAACUGGGAUGCCUCUGCUUUAAAAUCCGAAGUUGGUUACUACUCAGUUUGCUGAACAACUGUCACUUAAAGACACUUAGUGCAGGUACAAACUACAGAGGAAGAUUAGUUUCAGUUCUUUCACCAAACUUAUGGUUCCCUCUCUACCUACAGAAACAUUGAUCUUUGAUUCCAUGGCCCCCAGGAGUAAAUAUCAGAACCCGAGUUUCCAUUAGUGAGCAGGUUUUGAGGCAGUCCAUGAAUGUCAUCUAAGGGGCGGGAUCUUCCAUUCGGGUAGUAUUGCUGGUUCUGCAUGGAAGCAGCUUCAUCAUCAUCCA